AUUUGCAGAAGAAGAAGAAGACAA
rnacentral:sRNA from 1 species